AACGAACGCUGGCGGCGUGCUUAACACAUGCAAGUCGAGCGGUAAGGCCCUUUCGGGGGUACACGAGCGGCGAACGGGUGAGUAACACGUGGGUGACCUGCCCUCAGCUCUGGGAUAAGCCUGGGAAACCGGGUCUAAUACUGGAUAUGACUCCAUGACGCAUGGUUGUGGGGUGGAAAGCCUUGUGCGGCUGAGGGAUGGGGCCCGCGGCCUAUCAGCUUGGUUGGUGGGGUGA
rnacentral:rRNA from 1 species